rnacentral:rRNA from 1 species
GAUGAACGCUGGCGACGUGCCUAAUACAUGCAAGUCGAGCGAACGGACGAGAAGCUUGCUUCUCUGAUGUUAGCGGCGGACGGGUGAGUAACACGUGGAUAACCUACCUAUAAGACUGGGAUAACUUCGGGAAACCGGAGCUAAUACCGGAUAAUAUUUUGAACCGCAUGGUUCAAAAGUGAAAGACGGUCUUGCUGUCACUUAUAGAUGGAUCCGCGCUGCAUUAGCUAGUUGGUAAGGUAACGGCUUACCAAGGCAACGAUGCAUAGCCGACCUGAGAGGGUGAUCGGCCACACUGGAACUGAGACACGGUCCAGACUCCUACGGGAGGCAGCAGUAGGGAAUCUUCCGCAAUGGGCGAAAGCCUGACGGAGCAACGCCGCGUGAGUGAUGAAGGUCUUCGGAUCGUAAAACUCUGUUAUUAGGGAAGAACAUAUGUGUAAGUAACUGUGCACAUCUUGACGGUACCUAAUCAGAAAGCCACGGCUAUCUACGUG